AUUGAACGCUGGCGGCAGGCCUAACACAUGCAAGUCGAGCGGAUGAAGGGAGCUUGCUCCUGGAUACAGCGGCGGACGGGUGAGUAAUGCCUAGGAAUCUGCCUGGUAGUGGGGGAUAACGUCCGGAAACGGGCGCUAAUACCGCAUACGUCCUGAGGGAGAAAGUGGGGGAUCUUCGGACCUCACGCUAUCAGAUGAGCCUAGGUCGGAUUAGCUAGUUGGUGGGGUAAAGGCCUACCAAGGCGACGAUCCGUAACUUGUCUGAGAGGAUGAUCAGUCACACUGGAACUGAGACACGGUCCAGACUCCUACGGGAGGCAGCAGUGGGGAAUAUUGGACAAUGGGCGAAAGCCUGAUCCAGCCAUGCCGCGUGUGUGAAGAAGGUCUUCGGAUUGUAAAGCACUUUAAGUUGGGAGGAAGGGCAGUAAGUUAAUACCUUGCUGUUUUGACGUUACCAACAGAAUAAGCACCGGCUAACUUCGUG
rnacentral:rRNA from 1 species